rnacentral:tRNA from 1 species
GAUCCGGUAGCUCAGCUGGUAGAGCAUAACACUUUUAAUGUUAGGGUCCUGGGUUCGAGCCCCAGCCGGAUCACCA